GGAUAUGAGGGCGAUCUGGCUGCGACAUCUGUCACCCCAUUGAUCGCCAGGGUUGAUUCGGCUGAUCUGGCUGGCUGGGUGGUGUCCCCUUCCUCCCUCACCGCUGCACGUGCGUCCCUCCCAAAGCUGCGUGCUCGGGCAGUCGAAGAGGACGACCUUCCCCGACAGAGGACCGUUCUUCGGUCAAGGGUAUACAAGUAGCUGUAGAACCUCCAAACAAGCUCUCAAGAUAUUCAUAUGCUUAUCAAGUGGCAAAAGCAGAUGACAUGUUUAAUGAUUUAUCUAUAGAUAUAUACAUAACU
rnacentral:snRNA from 1 species